GGAAAGCUGAUGUUGCGUGUGGAAAGUGGUGCCUCUUCGAAAUCCGGAGAGUGGUGCCUAUUCGAUUUUUGAACCAACGGCCUUGUUGCCCUUUCUUUUAUAAGGACACCAAUUGUGUGCAAUGAGUACAUUCAUAGAGUUAUUGAUUGUUGGAAUUUUCCCCUUACUUCAGAGAUUUAUUGCACCUCAUUUCUCCUUCAUCAUUUCUGAGAAUGUCUGGCCCAUCCGACCGUCGUUUUGACUUGAACUUUGGUGAAGAGGCAGUUAUGCCUUCUCAAGAAAACAUAUGGCGCCCAUCCUUCUUAUCCCCUACUGG
rnacentral:lncRNA from 1 species